AGAGGAGGAACUGCAGCAGAAUCUGUGGGGACUCAAGAUCAACAUGGAAGAAGAGAGUGAAAGUGAAAGUGAGCAAAGUAUGGAUUCUGAGGAGCCGGACAGCCGGGGAGGCUCCCCUCAGAUGGAUGACAUCAAAGUGUUCCAGAAUGAAGUUUUAGGAACACUACAGCGGGGCAAAGAGGAGAACAUUUCUUGUGACAAUCUGGUCCUGGAAAUCAACUCUCUCAAGUAAGAGCAGCCCCUCCCUGUUCUCCUCGGGGUGAUCCCAGGAAGGUAGAGGCUUUCUCGUAAGUGUUUUGUCUCCAAAUAGGAACCUAUUCCUUUGACAUCCCAAAUGGAAAGACCAGUAGUAUUUGGAGCAAGGAGAGCAUUAUUAAGUUCUAGCCUCAGCAUAGACUUCCUCCUUCCUAAACCCUCCCCUUCCGUAUUGUUCCAUCCAAAUUCCUCUCCAAUGUCUAUCAAAGUCAUAGUUCUAAGCCUGCUGAAAGGCCAGUGAAGGCCCUGGUGUCACCCCAGUCUCCCCACAGGUAUGCGUAUAACAUAAGUCUAAAGGAGGUGAUGCAGGUACUGAGCCACGUGGUCCUGGAGUUCCCCCUGCAACAGAUGGAUUUCCCGCUUGACUCAAGCCGCUACUGUGCCCUGCUGCUUCCUCUGCUCAAGGCCUGGAGCCCUGUUUUUAGGAACUACAUAAAGCGUGCAGCCGACCAUUUGGAAGCGUUAGCAGCCAUUGAGGACUUCUUCCUAGAGCAUGAAGCUCUUGGUAUUUCCAUGGCCAAGGUACUGAUGGCUUUUUACCAGCUGGAGAUCCUGGCUGAGGAAACAAUUCUGAGCUGGUUCAGCCAAAGAGAUACAACUGACAAGGGCCGGCAGUUGCGCAAGAAUCAACAGCUGCAGAGGUUCAUCCAGUGGCUAAAAGAGGCAGAAGAGGAGUCAUCUGAAGAUGACUGAAGUGACACUGCCUGCUCCUUUGGGUGUGAUUGAGUGACCUCCUGGCUCCUGGGCUGAGACAAGUGAGGAACUAGCUGCAGAGGGAUGAGUGACCACCAUCCAGGUUGAGACUGAAAGGAGCAGAGGCUGGAACUACAGUAUUCUUUCCCCUGCUAGCAACCAUGUGCCUCCCAUCCUGACUGUGGAGUUGGGAUGUGGGAAGUGGGGCUGAAACAAAGCUUCUGCCGAGGGAGGAGCUAAGCAGGCCCUGCAGUUGGAGGAAGGCCAGAGGAACAGCUUUGCUCCGGCUUUCCCUCAGGGAACAGCAGAGAGCAGUUGGCUCGCUCUGCUGCUUGUACAUGUUAAUAUUAAAAGAGAGAGU
rnacentral:sRNA from 1 species